AAAGCGUGCGCAGGCGGUUCUAUAAGACAGAUGUGAAAUCCCCGGGCUCAACCUGGGAACUGCAUUUGUGACUGUAGAGCUGGAGUGCGGCAGAGGGGGAUGGAAUUCCGCGUGUAGCAGUGAAAUGCGUAGAUAUGCGGAGGAACACCGAUGGCGAAGGCAAUCCCCUGGGCCUGCACUGACGCUCAUGCACGAAAGCGUGGGGAGCAAACAGGAUUAGAUACCCGAGU
rnacentral:rRNA from 1 species